rnacentral:lncRNA from 1 species
GCCAGCGGGAGGGGCGGGGCCGGGGCCCGCACGGUGCAUUUGAUUUGAUUUGAUUCUGAUUUAUUUUUGAUUUUAUUUCCCUGUUUUUCUCGCGUCUCUGACGCGGAUCCGGACCCGGGAACCGGUUCCGGUUUCUGGUUAUUUAUUUGUUUAAUUUCUAUUUAUUUAUUUUUCUCUUGGCGAUUUUUUCUUCUCUCUCCCUGGGUUUCCCGUGAUGCCCCGCGCGGCGCAGGCGGCGUCGGCCGUCAACAACAGCGACGGCGGCGGAGGCGGAGUCCCGGGUGAGUGACAGGAGCAGGGGACAACCCCGCCCCCUCCCAACAACAGCGACGGCAACAAUAAUGACAAUAAAAAUAAUAAUAAUAAAAUAACGGCGGCGUCAGCGGCAACAACAGCGACGGCCCCGGGCGGCGGCGACAAUACGGGGGGGGGAGGCGGGGGUCAUUUUUGGGGCAAACAAUAGCGAGGGCGGCGGCGAUGAUAAUAAUAAUGAUGAUGAUAAACAAUAGCGACGCCCGCGGCUCAGUAACAGAAACAACAACGCGGGGUCAACAAUAGCGACGGCGGCGGCGACGAUAACAAUAACAACGCCCGAGCGGUUACCGGAAGCUGGUGGGGGCAACAACAGCGACGGCCCCAGAAAUAAUAAUAACAACAAAGGCAGCGAUAACAACAGCGACGGCCGUGGACGUCAAAUAAUAAUAAUAGCGACGCCCUGACUGUCAUUAUUAUUAUUUAUCCGCCGCGGCCGUCCGUGUUGUUUCCCAUUAUUAUUAUUAUUAUUACCGCCGUUGUUUAUUAUUAUUAUUGACCUCGGCCGCCGUCGUCACUGUUGUUUCCCGCGCGCCGCGAUCGCUGCCGUUACUGUUACCGCCGCCGUCGCUGUUGUUUGUCGCCCGCUAUUGUUACUGCUGCCGUCGCUAUUGUUUGUCGUAUUUUUUUUUCCGGUUACUUUUACCCGUUGCCGUCGCUAUUGUUAUUUUUUGGUUUCGCUUGUUGUUUUCCCGUCGUUAUUAUUAUUGCUUUCUUGUGUUGUUGUGUUUUUUUUAUUUUUGUUUUUUUGUUAAUUUUAUUUUAUUAUUAUUUUUCCGCCGCCGUCGCUGUUGUUUUUUUCCAUUUUUUUCAUUUUUUUUCCGGCCGUCGCGGCCUCACACGCGUCACGGGACUCGGUGUCCGGUGUGGGGGACCCGGGACCCCCCUCCCCACCCCCCCGUGUGCGUCGCCCGCAGCGUGCUGACGUCCCCGUGUCUUCCUGUUCACAGGUGUGAGCGCUGCCUCCGCGGUCCCAGAGCCCGCGGCGUGAUCCCUGCCCGGGAGGAGAGCGACGCGCGGCGGGCCCCGCCCCCGUGACGCGGAGAUGGACGCGCCGACGCACAGGCGUGACCCUGACGUGACCCCGAGGUCUCGGACGUCGCCGUAGUCUCCUGGGUGAGCAUCAUUAAUUCCCCCUCCGCCUUCCCGCUCGUCACAUGGGGUACUCACGCGUGUUCCUCCCGGGCUCGGAAUCGUUCAUUCGCCCUCGCGUGCUCCUCACGUGUUCCGCGUCAUUCGUUCCCGCGCAGUUCGCGUCAUUAGCUCCUCACUGUGCGCAAUCAUUAGCUCACGCCUGCGUGUUCGGCGUCGCGUGCGUCGUCCCCUCCUCGCCCCGUGUCCAGCCCGGGCUGAGCGUCAUUAGUUCCUCCUCACGCGUGUCCUUCCCCGGCCUUGGGCGCCGGAAUCAUUAACACGUUAAUGGGCGGGGCUGACGUCACUUCCCUGUUCGGCUCCGCCCCCGCAGGCCCCGAGCCACGUCACGUCGAUGACGUCACACGACCCCGCCCCUGCGGCCCCGCCACGGAGGACCCCGUGGGUGAGCGAGGAGGACGUCACACGCGCGGGUCGUGAGCGCGCGCGUCCCUGAUCCCGCCCAGCCGUGCGCCGCGUCACGCGUGUCUGCCGCACGCGCACCUGCGGCGCGCGAGUCCUCGGGUUGGGCACCGCGACGACGCCGUCUGCGCGGAGCUUCCGGCCCCUGCUGAGUCGCCCCGGGCCACCCCACGCGGAUGGGCGGCCCGAGCCCGGCAAUGACGUCACGCGUAUCUGUCGCGUGUCCUUGAACACGCGUUCCCCGCGACGCUCAUCGGAUGCUUCACUGCGAAGCCCUUGCUGAACCGGACAGGGCGACCCCGUGGGCGGGACGCGUCUGAAGCCCAGCCCGCCCUGCCCACGUCACGCGUGUGGAUCACGCGCGUUUUCCGUCUGCGAACUGACAUCGCCCCGUGGGUCCUCGGGACAGACGCGUGACCCUGCAGCCCCUGCGGCCACGCCCCGGGAGACCCCGAGUGGGCAGCAUGCGGACACCCCGCCCGCC